rnacentral:rRNA from 1 species
AUUGAACGCUGGCGGCAGGCCUAACACAUGCAAGUCGAGCGAGCGGCGGACGGGUGAGUAAUGUAUGGGGACUGCCCGAUAGAGGGGGAUAACUACUGGAAACGGUAUCUAAUACCGCAUACUAUCGGAUAACCCAUAUGGGAUUAGCUAGUAGGUGAGGUAAUGGCUCACCUAGGCGCCGAUCCCUAGCUGGUCUGCGAGGAUGAUCAGCCACACUGGGACUGAGACACGGCCCAGACUCCUACGGAGGCAGCAGUGGGGAAUAUUGAACAAUGGGCGCAAGCCUGAUGCAGCCAGGACGCGUGUAUGAAGAAGGCCAUAGGGUUGUAAAGUACUUUCAGUAGGGAGGCGUUAGCGACAGAAGAAGCAACGGCUAACUCCGUGCCAGCCGCCGCGGUAAUAC